rnacentral:rRNA from 1 species
CGCGUAGACGGUUUUGUAAGUCAGAUGUGAAAUCCCUGGGCUCAACCUGGGAACUGCAUUUGAGACUGCAUGGCUAGAGUAUGGAAGAGGGAAGUGGAAUUUCCGGUGUAGCGGUGAAAUGCGUAGAUAUCGGAAGGAACACCAGUGGCGAAAGCGACUUCCUGGUCCAAUACUGACGUUCAUGUGCGAAAGCGUGGGGAGCAAACA